GACGUAGGGCGCGAGCGUUGUCCGGAUUUAUUGGGCGUAAAGAGCUCGUAGGCGGCUUGUCGCGUCGACUGUGAAAUCCCGCGGCGUCAACUGCGGGUCUGCAGUCGAUACGGGCAGGCUAGAGUUCGGUAGGGGAGACUGGAAUUCCUGGUGUAGCGGUGAAAUGCGCAGAUAUCAGGAGGAACACCGGUGGCGAAGGCGGGUCUCUGGGCCGAUACUGACGCUGAGGAGCGAAAGCGUGGGGAGCGAACAGG
rnacentral:rRNA from 1 species